UACGUAGGGGGCAAGCGUUGUCCGGAAUCAUUGGGCGUAAAGAGCGUGCAGGCGGCCUGGUAAGUCGGGUGUGAAACCUCCAGGCUCAACCUGGAGACGCCACCCGAUACUGCUGUGGCUAGAGUCCGGUAGGGGAGCGUGGAAUUCCCAGUGUAGCAGUGAAAUGCGUAGAUAUUGGGAAGAACACCUGAGGCGAAGGCGGGUUGCUGGGCCGACACUGACGCUGAGGCGCGAAAGCCAGGGGAGCAAACGGG
rnacentral:rRNA from 1 species